rnacentral:lncRNA from 1 species
AUGACUAACAUGCAGCCGGUUUCAGAAUUAUUGGGGAAAACUGUGCUCGCCGGAGCCUUGGUGAAAAGGAAACCACCCAGAGGCUCAAAUCCCGCCCAAGCGGACUCUGGGGAGGGUCUCGCCGGCUCCCGCGGUCAGCACCUGCCCCUCCGUGGCGGUUCUGUUGACGUCCUGUGGAAACUCCGCUUGCAUUUACCACUAGUGACGAUAAUUAAAAUGAAACGGGGCCUUGACCGGAGGAAGCUUCCAGAUAAUUCUUCUUUCUCAGGAGCACCCUCUGCCGGCCAGUCCUCAGAAAGCACCACUUGGUCAGCUCACAUCUGCAGACGGGCUUUGCUGCCAAAGAAGCCAAAGGCGGAUUCUGGUCCAGAGACAAGCGCAGGCUGCGGGAAUGCACGCUCCUGUCUCUGUGCCCACACCAUCUUCCUCAGAUCCUGACACUCCUGAGGUCACCUUGAAGCCAUCCGUCUCUUCAUCCCAUCUUGCGUCCACCACCUCUGCGGGUCGUUUCGGUGAACUCUCUCUGGACUUUGUCCUCCAGUUAGGACUAUUUCCAUGGUAAGUGACAAAACCUCAACCCUACCUGGCUCAGCACCAGAAGGAACGUAGGGGCUCACAUGUGUGUAGAGCCAGAUGCUGCCCUUGAGAGACGUCCUCAGGAGCCGCCCUUCUCCUCUGGCCCUGCUGUUUCUGUGUCACUGCCGUCAGGCAGGCUUCUCCCUGCGUGCCCAGCUGCAUGCUCCCCGUGACCGAGGACAUUCCGACCCAGCCCUAUUCCAUGUCUGCUGUGACGCAAAAUAACCAAGAACCAUCCAUAGAGAAGAGAAAUAAGGUGAGUCUAUUACGAGCCAAACUGAGGAUUCUAACCUGGGAAGGCCUUAGACAGCGUUCCUGAGAAGCAUGGUUUUCAGAACAGUUUUGUAUCUUUUUAGGACAAAGAACACACAUUAAACACAUCCAGGAUACAUUUUCAUCAAAAUUUCAAAGAGGUAUUUAGUGCAAAUUAGCAGGUCAAGAUGACCCCGAUGUCAGGAAAGGGACUAAUAUGGCGUUACCAAUAGCGCUAGAAGUGGCAGUCUGCAUUCUCAUCUUGAGAGGGGGCAUUCUUUAAUGGAUGAGCAGAUACACAAUGUGUGUUUGAUAAGCUAUAAGCCAGGCUUUCUAGUUCAAGCUGAAUCACUUUUGAACCCAAAUAGUUACCCCAUAUACCUCAAUAUGUGAAAACUUCUUGUCACUGCUAUUAAAAUUGAUCUCUACUGGCCUUGUUAUGCUUUUAAUGCUAAGUCAUGAAAUUCCAGAGCCUGACCUAAAAAAAAAAAAAAAAGCAAGUCUUCAUAAUGAACAGAAAGAGUCUGAGAAAGAGAGGAGGGAGACGUUCUCUCCCCGGGGCAGACCUCUUUACAGUUAACACUUGUUAGAAAAGAUCUGAUUUAAUGGGGCGUUAACUUGAUAACAUUCACUAGAAUAUCAAACUUGUUUUUCUGUGCAAUAGGGACUUUGGCAGAUAUUCCAAAGUGUUACCAAUUUGUUCUGUUCACUGUCUUUGGAAGAACAAGUUGAACAGAGAGGUCUGGUAAAACUGCUAAGACUUUAAAACAUGUUGCAAGUUGUGAAAAUGAAACCAGAGCAGCCUGUGUCUCUGACUUGUUUUCUUAUUUGAACACAUUGGCUUGGUAAUCACUUUGAAAUUGCCACCUCUGCGUUUCUGAAACCAUAUAAACUCUUGCAAGCAUUUUAGGCUUUGUGGGCCACGUGGUCUCUUUUGCAACUGUUGAUGCAAAUAAUCCAUAACCAAUCUAUAAAUCAAAAUUGGGGUGAGUUUAUUAUGACUCAGAUCUAAAGACCACAUAGCCCAGGAGAGUCUUUUCCCAAAGGAACAGAGCACUCCAAAGAAGUGGGGUGUACAGGGUGGUUAUACACCAUCAGAGAGCAUGCAUCACCCGUGAUCGGAAUGUCCCUUUUACAAUAGUCACGAGAUUGCUUUGUCGGCACAGCAAUUCGGUGAACAGAGCAGGUCUGUGGUCUUGAGGAGAGGGGUCACAAGUUGAGCACAGCAGGUCAGUAAUUAAUCCUUAGUUUAGGGAGAGAUGCUUGUCCUAAGGAAAGGGGGACGUUACAUCCCUAUCUUUAGGGGCAUCAUUCUUGUAUUUGGGAUGCAGUAAAUAUUUAAAGUAGAUAUCCAAUACAUGCCUGACAGGCCACAUCAGGUCCUUUUGGAAAAACGAGGUCAGGCCGGAUUAGUUUUACACCAAGUGGCUUCUUCAGAUACUCCAAUAUAUCCCAUUGCUUGUCAUUUAUUUAUCAUAACUAUUCAAAUCUGCCCUCAAAUCUGCACCAAAGCAGCCAGUGAGAAAUGGGUGUGGCUGUGUUUGGACACCACUUUACUUACGGACAUGGAAAUGUGAAUUUCAUAUAAACUCCUGUCCUGAAAUAGUCAUGCAGCACACGACGUUUCAGUCAAUGACAGACCGUGUAUACGACAGGACGACAGUCCUAUAAGAUUAGCACCAUAAAGCCUGGCGUGUAGUGGGCUGUACCAUCCAGGUCUGUGUAAGUCACCCUGUGAUGUUCAUACGAUGAUGAAAUCACCUAAGGAUGCAUCUCUCAGAACGUGUCCCCGUCAUUAAGUGACACGUGACCAUAUUCUUCCUUUGAUUUUUCAACUCUUUUUUUUUUUAAAGAUUGGCACCUGAGCUAACAACUGUUGCCAAUCUUUUUUUUUCUGCUUUUUUCCUCCCCAGAUCCCCCCACUAUAUAGCUGUAUAUUUUAGUUGUGGCAUGUGGGAAGCCGCCUCACUGUGGCAUGACGAGUGGUGCCAUGUCCACACCAGGAUCCGAACCAGCGAAACCCUGGGCCGCAGAAGCAGAUCGCGAGAACUUAACCACUUGGCCACGGGGCCGGCCCCCGAUUUUUCAACUAUUUAAAAAUAUAUAAACCGUUCUUCUCUCUCAUCUGCACUGAGCACUCUGUCUAGCACUGUCUUCCCCGUUUAUUCACAGGGCUAACUCUUGACCUCCUUCACUUCUCUACAUUUCACCUUCCCAACGAGGCCUGACAGGCUCAUCCUACACCAUUUCCCACUGCCCCCACGUCCACUCCUCAUUCACCUGACCUCUUUAUGAUUUUCCCACAGGACUUAUCAUCUUCCAAAGUACUAAAUAACUUAAUUAUAAUGAUACUGUUUCUCUUCCCUUGCCAGAUGGCAGUCUCUCCCAGGGCUUGGUUUUGCGUCUAGGUUCACAGAUGCGUCCAGGGCGCCUAGAAGAUGGCCUCGCAGGCAGAGGACAGUUUUAACAACUUUGCUGAAUAAACAGGUGGACUAAUGACCCA